rnacentral:lncRNA from 12 species
AUGUCUAUUGCUGACUUAGCAAGUUGUAUAAAAAUAUUAAAAACAGUAUUUUGUUGUUAUGAGCAAACACUAGACGGCGAAUUUAAUUUCUAUUUUUACUAUCCUUGUAGGGACAUUUGUUCCCCACGACAAAGAGAAUACCUGGACCACACACACACUUCUGUCAAUGAGAUUCCAAUUUGGUCAAUGCUGAAAACAAGAAAGGAAGAUUUUGUUAAUGUGGCUUUACAGAUAAAUACCCCACAUUACCCAAAGCAGCAAAGGUACAGCUAGCAGACUGAAAAGGAAAUGCAAGUCAACCACAGAUGUUCCAUGAUAAAACAUUCAACCUGAUUGGCAUGACACUAGAGCAGUCUGCUGCAGUCGUCUAAGCUUGUAUAAGUGACUUACAUCAAGGUAAACAUUAUUGUCAAUUCCUGCAUUUCUAGAGAACUGAACCCAUGACCUGGAUAGUGCCAAGCUAUACUGAGCUGCAGGAAGGCUAUAUUUCUGUUCAGUGCAGAUCUAGGAACCUCUCCUUACAGCUUUGUUUAUUGUAAUAUGGUGCAUUAAAUAGUCUUUAUAUGGCAUGUGGCUGUUUUUAAAAUUAAAAGUGCUGAUGAUGAGUCUACUGUGGACUAAGUUCCUCUUUGUGCCUUAAAUAUAAAAAUUAUGAAUCAUUUUAAAUGUUUGUGUUUUUUCAACAUAAACACAUGAGCUGUUGUUCUUUGAAAAGUUCUGAUCAUCAGUUAUAGAAAAAAGACCAGAAUGACAUUUGUAAUGUCUAAUUAGGUUAAAUGAGUUCAUGGUCUCAAAAGGAUUUUUGCGACCCAAAACGGUUGAAUUUACUGCGGCUUUUCUCAGUUGCAAUAUUUGCAAAAAAUUUUGUCUUGUUUUGCAGUGAAAACCCACCGAUAAUCAUUAUGUAUAUGUAUUACUGAAAUUAGUGGUGGCCCUGGCCUCCCAUGCACAAGCCAGUAUUAACAUCCAGCAUAGAAACAUUCAUUAUUCUGCUUUGCUGAGACAAAGAUGCCAGCACACUGAUAACAGAGCAUACAUUUUAAAUGUUUUAAAUUAUUAUUUCCUAUUUUGACAGUUUAACUAUUAUAUUGUUGUUGUUGUUACUAUUAUUAUUAUUAGUAGUAGUAGUAUUAAAAUGUUAAUGUAUUCUCAGAGGGACAGAGAAACAUUCUGCCUUGUUUAUUUUUCAUUUAUAUGUAAAGUGCUUUGUAUUAGGAAGGUGCUGGUCAUCAAAAAAAAAAAAAAAAAAAAACUUUCUAGCCCCUCCUUACUGUUUCUUCAAAGAGUCCACACACACACACAAAGA